rnacentral:rRNA from 1 species
AUUGAACGCUGGCGGCAUGCUUUACACAUGCAAGUCGAACGGUAACAGGCCGCAAGGUGCUGACGAGUGGCGAACGGGGGAGUAAUGCAUCGGAACGUGCCCAGUCGUGGGGGAUAACGCAGCGAAAGCUGCGCUAAUACCGCAUACGAUCUAUGGAUGAAAGCGGGGGACCGUAAGGCCUCGCGCGAUUGGAGCGGCCGAUGUCAGAUUAGGUAGUAGGGGGGGUAAAGGCCCACCAAGCCAACGAUCUGUAGCUGGUCUGAGAGGACGACCAGCCACACUGGGACUGAGACACGGCCCAGACUCCUACGGGAGGCAGCAGUGGGGAAUUUUGGACAAUGGGCGCAAGCCUGAUCCAGCAAUGCCGCGUGCAGGAAGAAGGCCUUCGGGUUGUAAACUGCUUUUGUACGGAACGAAACGGUUCGGGUUAAUACCCUGGGCUAAUGACGGUACCGUAAGAAUAAGCACCGGCUAACUACGUGCCAGCCGCCGCCGUAACAC